rnacentral:rRNA from 1 species
CAGCAGCCGCGGUAAUACGAAGGGUGCAAGCGUUAAUCGGAAUUACUGGGCGUAGAGCGUGCGUAGGCGGUUUGUUAAGUCUGUUGUGAAAUCCCCGGGCUCAACCUGGGAAUGGCAAUGGAUACUGGCAAGCUAGAGUGUGUCAGAGGAUGGUGGAAUUCCCGGUGUAGCGGUGAAAUGCGUAGAGAUCGGGAGGAACAUCAGUGGCGAAGGCGGCCAUCUGGGACAACACUGACGCUGAGGCACGAAAGCGUGGGGAGCAAACAGGAUUAGAUACCCCAGUAGUCCCUGUCUCUUAUAC